rnacentral:tRNA from 1 species
AAUCCGUCGACUUUAAAAAAUCGUGAGGGUUCAAGUCCCUCUAUCCCCAAAAAG